rnacentral:rRNA from 1 species
CCUAGGGUGGCAGCAGUGGGGAAUAUUGGACAAUGGGCGAAAGCCUGAUCCAGCCAUGCCGCGUGUGUGAAGAAGGCCUUCGGGUUGUAAAGCACUUUCAGUGGGGAAGAAAGCCUUGGGGCUAAUACCCUCGAGGAAGGACAUCACCCACAGAAGAAGCACCGGCUAACUCCGUGCCAGCAGCCGCGGUAAUACGGAGGGUGCGAGCGUUAAUCGGAAUUACUGGGCGUAAAGCGCGCGUAGGCGGUCUGAUAAGCCGGUUGUGAAAGCCCCGGGCUCAACCUGGGAACGGCAUCCGGAACUGUCAGGCUAGAGUGCAGGAGAGGAAGGUAGAAUUCCCGGUGUAGCGGUGAAAUGCGUAGAGAUCGGGAGGAAUACCAGUGGCGAAGGCGGCCUUCUGGACUGACACUGACGCUGAGGUGCGAAAGCGUGGGUAGCAAACAGGAUUAGAUACCCUUGUAGUC